rnacentral:rRNA from 1 species
GACGAACGCUGGCGGCGUGCUUAACACAUGCAAGUCGAACGGAAAGGCCCUGCUUUUGUGGGGUGCUCGAGUGGCGAACGGGUGAGUAACACGUGAGUAACCUGCCCUUGACUUUGGGAUAACUUCAGGAAACUGGGGCUAAUACCGGAUAGGAGCUCCUGCUGCAUGGUGGGGGUUGGAAAGUUUCGGCGGUUGGGGAUGGACUCGCGGCUUAUCAGCUUGUUGGUGGGGUAGUGGCUUACCAAGGCUUUGACGGGUAGCCGGCCUGAGAGGGUGACCGGCCACAUUGGGACUGAGAUACGGCCCAGACUCCUACGGGAGGCAGCAGUGGGGAAUAUUGCACAAUGGGCGGAAGCCUGAUGCAGCAACGCCGCGUGCGGGAUGACGGCCUUCGGGUUGUAAACCGCUUUCGCCUGUGACGAAGCGUGAGUGACGGUAAUGGGUAAAGAAGCACCGGCUAACUACGUGCCAGCAGCCGCGGUGAUACGUAGGGUGCGAGCGUUGUCCGGAUUUAUUGGGCGUAAAGGGCUCGUAGGUGGUUGAUCGCGUCGGAAGUGUAAUCUCGGGGCUUAACCCUGAGCGUGCUUUCGAUACGGGUUGACUUGAGGAAGGUAGGGGAGAAUGGAAUUCCUGGUGGAGCGGUGGAAUGCGCAGAUAUCAGGAGGAACACCAGUGGCGAAGGCGGUUCUCUGGGCCUUUCCUGACGCUGAGGAGCGAAAGCGUGGGGAGCGAACAGGCUUAGAUACCCUGGUAGUCCACGCUGUAAACGGUGGGUACUAGGUGUGGGGUCCAUUCCACGGGUUCCGUGCCGUAGCUAACGCUUUAAGUACCCCGCCUGGGGAGUACGGCCGCAAGGCUAAAACUCAAAGGAAUUGACGGGGCCCCGCACAAGCGGCGGAGCAUGCGGAUUAAUUCGAUGCAACGCGUAGAACCUUACCUGGGUUUGACAUGGAUCGGGAGUGCUCAGAGAUGGGUGUGCCUCUUUUGGGGUCGGUUCACAGGUGGUGCAUGGCUGUCGUCAGCUCGUGUCGUGAGAUGUUGGGUUAAGUCCCGCAACGAGCGCAACCCUUGUUCACUGUUGCCAGCACGUUAUGGUGGGGACUCAGUGGAGACCGCCGGGGUCAACUCGGAGGAAGGUGGGGAUGACGUCAAGUCAUCAUGCCCCUUAUGUCCAGGGCUUCACGCAUGCUACAAUGGCUGGUACAGAGAGUGGCGAGCCUGUGAGGGUGAGCGAAUCUCGGAAAGCCGGUCUCAGUUCGGAUUGGGGUCUGCAACUCGACCUCAUGAAGUCGGAGUCGCUAGUAAUCGCAGAUCAGCAACGCUGCGGUGAAUACGUUCCCGGGGCU